AGGGAAAACAAGCUUGGGGAACGUCCAGGGGCUUUACCUUCCAGGGAGAAAUGCUCUAAGUCGGGGUCCCACAAUGGCAGCUCUAGGCGGUUGGAAUUAGCUCAAGAAAAGGAGAAGCCCCAGCUCUCGGAGCUGGCUGGUGGCUUCCAGAGGAUGAGAGCUUGGAGCCCCCAUUUGUGGUACAGCUUUCAGAGAAGCACAGUCAAUGGCACCAGCACGUCUGGGCUUUCCCUUCAUCUGCUCCCUCAGACUGCUAAGCAUCCCUGGCUCACAGGAUGGUCUUCCUUACAAAGAACUGCAAAGCCUUUUGCUGGACUCCACCUCCUGAAGAUCCCACGGCCUCCCAAACAGCAUCAGCAAGUGGGGACCACGGUCCAGAUUCAAGCCAUCACUUUACCUUAGCUCAAACGUGGAUCUCCAGUGAGGAUCUUGGGACAGGAAGCUGACUGGUUGCUCUUGGCUUCACGAGACACCUCUGUAAUUCCUACAGUGAUUUCCUCCUUCAUUUGUUUGAAUUACCCUAAUGAGCUUCUGUCACUCACACUAAGUAUUUUAAACACUAUUUUUAUGGAGGGAUGAUCAGCCUCAUUCAUAAUAAGGUAAAUGAAAAUGAAAUUACAUGGAAACACCAUUUAUCACUUAUCAGGUGGGGCAAUUUUGAUAGGUGACUAUGAAAGAUUGUAGCCCUGGAGAUGGCACAUUACCAACGUGGAUCACCUUUGAACACAUGCUUAGCUUCUUGACCUAUAAUCCAUAGGUAUGGGGAUUUAUGUUGCAGAGGUGCUGUGCAGGGGAGAAAUAGUGUAUAUGCAAGGUCACUGGGUGUAGCAUUAUUUGUGGUGUCAAAAGUUAAGAAAGAACUCAACUAUUUACCCAGAAAGACUGUUUAGGGGCUAGGGAAAUGGCUCAGUUGAUUAAGUGCUUACCAUAUAAGCACACGGACCUGAGUUCAAUCCCCACUUCCCAUGAACAGGACGUCUUGUAAUCCCAGUGCUGGAGAGGCAGAGACAGGAGAAUCCCCUGGGCUGGUUGGCCAAGCAGUCUAACUGACUGGUGAGCUUAGGUUCAAUGAGUGUGGUAGUUCAUUUUUUAAUUGUCAACCUGACCCAAUCUAGAAUAACCUGGGAAGAGUGAUAGAUGAGGGGUUGAUAGAUAUGCUUGCCUACAGAAUGUCUAUAGGGGUGUCUGCAUUACUUUGGUUGAUGUGGGAAAACCUACCUAGUCCACUGAGAGCAGUAUCAUUACCUGAGUUUGGGUUCUGAAUUUUAAAAGACUGGGGAAACUGAGUCAAGCAGCCAGUGUGUGUGUAUGCAUGCAUAUUCAUUUUUCUCUUUCCUUGAUUGUGGAUGUGAUUUAACAAGCUGUUUUUAGUUCCUGCUGCCUUGGCUUUUUGCUGUGAUAGGCUGUAACAUGGUAUCAUGGAAACAGUAAAUCCUUUCUCCCC